AAAGACCAAGGCAGGCCACAGUUAUUUUAUUAUUAAGGGCUAAACAUGGGGCUGUUGAGGCCAGGGCUGUUAAGUUUAGGUUUGGUUGAGGUUAGGUUUGUCAAGGAUGGGUCUGUAAAAUUCAGGUUUGAAUCCCGGAGUGUCUGGUAGGUUUAGGUCAGGUGGAUCUCCCAAGACUCAUUUAGACCCCUUGGAAAUUUUGUAUCGAGUCUCAUGAUCCACAAUCUUUCAAAUUUUAAUCU